AGAAAUUCUAGCAGUAAGUUAGGUUAUGAGAUAAAUUUUAUUUAUAUAGUUUGUUUAAAGAGUUUAGUUUGAAAAAAAGGGACACAGUAAAAAGACAAAACAUUUAGACCCUUUGAAAGAGAAAUGUUUGCAAUGGAUAUUAAUAAAUUCUAGCCAAUUUGUACGAUGUACAAUGUAGGCAAUAUUUCUGCCUCCUAACGCACUAUUCGCGUAAAAGAAGAUGUGGGUAUUGUAUUUAUAGAACAGAUUUAUUAUUAGUUGGCUAGUGUGUUAGUAGGAUAGCCAUUGGUAGUUAUAAAGUAUGAAGUCGUCAGGUAUUAAUAAUAGGAAUUGAU